GCCAGCAUGGCAUAGCGGUUGUGUGUUGGACUAUAUGACUCUGGAGACCAGGGUUCGAUUCCCUGUUCGGCCA